rnacentral:rRNA from 1 species
UGAACGCUGGCGGCGUGCCUAAUACAUGCAAGUCGAGCGAACAGACGAGGAGCUUGCUCCUCUGACGUUAGCGGCGGACGGGUGAGUAACACGUGGAUAACCUACCUAUAAGACUGGGAUAACUUCGGGAAACCGGAGCUAAUACCGGAUAAUAUAUUGGACCGCAUGGUUCAAUAGUGAAAGACGGUUUUGCUGUCACUUAUAGAUGGAUCCGCGCCGCAUUAGCUAGUUGGUAAGGUAACGGCUUACCAAGGCAACGAUGCGUAGCCGACCUGAGAGGGUGAUCGGCCACACUGGAACUGAGACACGGUCCAGACUCCUACGGGAGGCAGCAGUAGGGAAUCUUCCGCAAUGGGCGAAAGCCUGACGGAGCAACGCCGCGUGAGUGAUGAAGGUCUUCGGAUCGUAAAACUCUGUUAUUAGGGAAGAACAAAUGUGUAAGUAACUAUGCACGUCUUGACGGUACCUAAUCAGAAAGCCACGGCUAACUACGUG